rnacentral:rRNA from 1 species
GACGAACGCUGGCGGCGUGCUUAACACAUGCAAGUCGAACGGAAAGGCCCUGCUUUUGUGGGGUGCUCGAGUGGCGAACGGGUGAGUAACACGUGAGUAACCUGCCCUUGACUUUGGGAUAACUUCAGGAAACUGGGGCUAAUACCGGAUCGGAGCUCCUGCUGCAUAGUGGGGGUUGGAAAGUUUCGGCGGUUGGGGAUGGACUCGCGGCUUAUCAGCUUGUUGGUGGGGUAGUGGCUUAACAAGGCUUUGACGGGUAGCCGGCCUGAGAGGGUGACCGGCCACAUUGGGAAUGAGAUACGGGCCAGAAUCCUACGGGAGGCAGCAGUGGGGAAUAUUGCACAAUGGGCGGAAGCCUGAUGCAGAAACGCCGCGUGCGGGAUAACGGCCUUCGGGUUGUAAAACGCUUUCGCCUGUGACGAGGCGUGAGUGACGGUAAUGGGUAAAGAAGCACCGGCUAACUACGUG